rnacentral:lncRNA from 1 species
AAGGACCGUACUCGGGAGCAGCCGGUUCCUGUUGUGGGGUCUUUUUCAGGGGGGUCAGGGGGCUCUUUUCCCUCUGGCCUGUGUUCCCUUAGGGUGUCUCUCCACAGCCCAGUGUCGGGCUCUCGGGGGAGGACUUGGGGCCGGGCCGGGGCAGGUGGGCUUAUGGAGGAGGGGCGCCCGCCAGGGGGGCGGACGGGGUGCCAGGGCCUCGCUGCUGGCUGUGCCUCGGAGGCUGGAACACAGGCAGUGGGGGGACAUGAGACCAACAUCCUCCAUCUGUCCCUUUAGGAAAUGCCACCAGAGCCGCAGCCAGACAGUCUGGCAAGCCCCGCUGGGCCCGUUCCCGGCGGGAGGGAGCUGGGACGCGGUGGGAGCAGCCUCUGACCGGGCGUUUGCCCAGCGCACCUGCGCCCCUGGGAACCCCUCCGCGGCCUCUCCGGGGAGCAGCCCCUGACGCCCCACAGAAGCCGAGGGGCCAUGGGUCCGGGGCCUCAGCCCUGGCAGGAAACCGAGGCCCGGUGAGGAAAGGGGCGUGGUCCACACGGGGACGUGACUGCGGGUCCUGGCACCUCCACGCACGCACGCUCUCGGGCUCUGCGGGCGUCUCCCUCCGUCUGUGCCUCCCCACCCCGCGUGAUCAGCUCCGGGCCACAGGGGCUGAGCCUGCCUCAGUUUCCCGUCCCGGGUGCUACCUCCGUGCAUGUGCACAGGAUGGACGCGCAGACCGAGAACCCACUUCUGUGUCUCUGCGUGGCUUCGUCCGCCGAGGGCCAUAAAUCGCCUCUGCUCACUCGCCGACCUCUUGCUCUUUUUGCUUUUGUUCUCAAAAAGUUAUUAAUGUUUCUGUGACUCCAUAUAUAACCUUACGCGGCUUCUCUCCCUCGGUGGUGGCGUGUCCCCGGGGACCCCUCCCUCCAUCUGCAGGCGCAGGCCUGUCUGGGCGGCCGGGCCAAGCGCCCACCCGUGUGUGGGAGGCGGCUUCCAAGGCCCGGCUCGGGGAGCUGAGAGCUGCACAGCCGCUGACCCCUGUCGCCCUCACGCCCCCCCACAGGGCUCUCAUCCUCGUUUGCAGGUGAAGAAACCGGGUCGGGGAGGAACUGGGUCCGGGAGACACCACCGGGUCACGUGGAACGUGAG